GUGAGGAAUUUUCCGCAAUGGGCGAAAGCCUGACGGAGCAAUGCCGCGUGAAGGAUGAAGGCCUAUGGGUUGUAAACUUCUUUUCUCAGAAAAGAAUUAUGACGGUAUCUGAGGAAUAAGCAUCGGCUAACUCUGUGCCAGCAGCCGCGGUAAUACGGAGGGUGCAAGCGUUAUCCGGAUUCACUGGGUUUAAAGGGUGCGUAGGUGGAUUGGUAAGUCAGAGGUGAAAUCUCCGGGCUCAACUCGGAAACUGCCUUUGAUACUAUCAAUCUUGAAUAUGGUGGAGGUUAGCGGAAUAUGUCAUGUAGCGGUGAAAUGCUUAGAUAUGACAUAGAACACCAAUUGCGAAGGCAGCUGGCUACACAUAUAUUGACACUGAGGCACGAAAGCGUGGGGAUCAAACAGGAUUAGAUACCCGUGUAGUCC
rnacentral:rRNA from 1 species